GAUGAACGCUGGCGGCGUGCCUAAUACAUGCAAGUCGAGCGAACGGACGAGAAGCUUGCUUCUCUGAUGUUAGCGGCGGACGGGUGAGUAACGCGUGGAUAACCUACCUAUAAGACUGGGAUAACUUCGGGAAACCGGAGCUAAUACCGGAUAAUAUUUUGAACCGCAUGGUUCAAAAGUGAAAGACAGUCUUGCUGUCACUUAUAGAUGGAUCCGCGCUGCAUUAGCUAGUUGGUAAGGUAACGGCUUACCAAGGCAACGAUGCAUAGCCGACCUGAGAGGGUGAUCGGCCACACUGGAACUGAGACACGGUCCAGACUCCUACGGGAGGCAGCAGUAGGGAAUCUUCCGCAAUGGGCGAAAGCCUGACGGAGCAACGCCGCGUGAGUGAUGAAGGUCUUCGGAUCGUAAAACUCUGUUAUUAGGGAAGAACAUAUGUGUAAGUAACUGUGCACAUCUUGACGGUACCUAAUCAGAAAGCCACGGCUAACUACGUG
rnacentral:rRNA from 1 species